GGAGCCUGAGAAACGGCUACCACAUCCAAGGAAGGCAGCAGGCGCGCAAAUUACCCACUCCCGGCACGGGGAGGUAGUGACGAAAAAUAACGAUACGGGACUCAUCCGAGGCCCCGUAAUCGGAAUGAGUAUACUCUAAAUCCUUAUACGAGUAUCCAUUGGAGGGCAAGUCUGGUGCCAGCAGCCGCGGUAAUUCCAGCUCCAAUAGCGUAUAUUAAAGUUGUUGCGGUUAAAAAGCUCGUAGUUGGAUCUGUGUCCCGCACCGCCGGUUCACCGCCUGUCGGUGUCAAACUGGCGUGUAUGCGGGACGUCCUGUCGGUGGCGGUCCGGGGCUUCGUCGGCCUUAGGUGUUCCGAUUUUUCGCGAUACUCCGAAGGCUGGCGUAUGUUUCCGGCCGCCUUGUCAAUCCCGCCGCGGUGCUCUUCACCGAGUGUCGAGGCGGGCCGGCACGUUUACUUUGAACAAAUUAGAGUGCUUUAAGCAGGCUCAUUUCAGCCUGCAUACUGUGUGCAUGGAAUAAUGGAAUAGGACCUCGGUUCUAUUUUGUUGGUUUUCGGAAUCUGAGGUAAUGAUCAAUGGGGACAGGCGGGGGCAUUCGUAUUGCGACGUUAGAGGUGAAAUUCUUGGAUCKUCGCAAGACGGACCGAAGCGAAAGCAUUUUGCCAAGUAUGUUCUCGUCGAUCAAGAACGAAAGUUAGAGGUUCGAAGGCGAUCAGAUACCGCCCUAGUUCUAACCAUAAACCAUGCCUGCCAGCGAUCCGCCGGUGUUCCUCCGAUGACCCGGCGGGCAGCUUCCGGGAAACCAGAGCUUUUGGGUUCCGGGGGAAGUAUGGUUGCAAAGCUGAAACUUAAAGGAAUUGACGGAAGGGCACCACCAGGAGUGGAGCCUGCGGCUUAAUUUGACUCAACACGGGAAAACUCACCAGGCCCGGACACCGGAAGGAUUGACAGAUUGAGAGCUCUUUCUUGAUUCGGUGGGUGGUGGUGCAUGGCCGUUCUUAGUUGGUGGAGCGAUUUGUCUGGUUAAUUCCGAUAACGAACGAGACUCUAGCCUACUAACUAGACGUAUCUGGUAUCCACAAUCGUGCUACCGGCGAUUAAAUUGCUUCUUAGAGGGACAGGCGGCUGUAGCCGCACGAGACUGAGCAAUAACAGGUCUGUGAUGCCCUUAGAUGUCCUGGGCCGCACGCGCGCUACACUGAAGGAGUCAGCGUGUCUUCCCUGUCCGAAAGGACCGGGUAACCCGCUGAACCUCUUUCGUGCUAGGGAUUGGGGCUUGCAACUGUUCCCCAUGAACGAGGAAUUCCCAGUAAGCGCGAGUCAUAAGCUC
rnacentral:rRNA from 1 species